rnacentral:rRNA from 1 species
UCUCAGUUCGGAUUGAAGGCUGAAAUUCGCCUUCAUGAAGCCGGAAUUGCUAGUAAUGGCAGGUCAGCAUACUGCCGUGAAUACGUUCCCGGGCCUUGUACACACCGCCCGUCACACCAUGAGAGUUGGGAAUACCCGAAGCCUGUGAGCUAACUUUUAGAGGCAGCAGUCGAAGGUAGAAUCAAUGAUUGGGGUGAAGUCGUAACAAGGUAUC